GUUGCGGUUAAAAAGCUCGUAGUUGGAUUUUGGGCGCAGGCGGCCGGUCCGUCGCAAGGCGUGUACUGGCCGUCCUGGCCUCACCUCCGGUUCUCCGCCGGUGCCCUUGACUGAGUGUCGGCGGCGGCCGGAACGUUUACUUUGAAAAAAUUAGAGUGUUCAAAGCAGGCGAUUCGCCUGAAUAAUGGUGCAUGGAAUAAUGGAAUAGGACCUCGGUUCUAUUUUGUUGGUUUUCGGAGCGCGAGGUAAUGAUUAAGAGGGACAGACGGGGGCAUUCGUACUGUGCCGUUAGAGGUGAAAUUCUUGGAUCGGCGCAAGACGAACGACUGCGAAAGCAUUUGCCAAGAAUGUUUUCUUUAAUCAAGAGCGAAAGUCAGAGGUUCGAAGACGAUCAGAUACCGUCCUAGUUCUGACUAUAAACGAUGCCAACUAGCGAUCGGGGGGCGUUAGUUUUACGACCUCUCCGGCAGCUUGCGGGAAACCAAAGUCUUUGGGUUCCGGGGGAAGUAUGGUUGCAAAGCUGAAACUUAAAGGAAUUGACGGAAGGGCACCACCAGGAGUGGAGCCUGCGGCUUAAUUUGACUCAACACGGGAAAUCUCACCCGGCCCGGACACAGUGAGGAUUGACAGAUUGAGAGCUCUUUCUUGAUUCUGUGGGUGGUGGUGCAUGGCCGUUCUUAGUUGGUGGAGCGAUUUGUCUGGUUAAUUCCGAUAACGAACGAGACUCUGGCUUGCUAACUAGUUACGCGACCCAAUCGGUCGGCGUCUAACUUCUUAGAGGGACUAGUGGCGUUUAGCCACACGAGAUUGAGCAAUAACAGGUCUGUGAUGCCCUUAGAUGUUCGGGGCCGCACGCGCGCUACACUGACCGGAUCAGCAUGUGCUCGCCUUGGCCGACAGGUCUGGGUAACCCGCUGAACCCCGGUCGUGCUAGGGAUAGGGAAUUGCAA
rnacentral:rRNA from 1 species